CCUACCGUACUGGUGGCAUCUCAGAGGGUUUGCUGCCUCAUUCCUACUUCUUGUUUUUAUAUUGUGUCGUUUACUUGUAUGUCUAUCGUGUACUAUGUCUCGUCAACGUGGGAUAGAGGAAAGUGCGGGGGGACCAAAAAAAAAAAGAGUGUAAUAUCGGUUUCACCAGUAUAUAAUUGAAACCGGAAGGUAUUCGGACAUCCCUGCGGUCAGUAGAAUAUAUAACGGCUGUGCAAUGAGAAGUCAAGACAUGUUCCACGAGAGCAGGCGGUCAAGGCAAGAGUAAUCUCGACGCAACAUGCCCAACAUGUACACGCAAAUUCUCGCGGCGGGCUUGGUGGCUUUUCUAGUACUGCGAGCCAAUGGCGCUCCGUUGACAGAAGCGACCACCGUCUUGCCAUCAAGCGACACCUCAAGUGAGGAGGAAACGGCGCCCUCUGCCCUGCUGACCUCCGCUCAUGUUUGGGACUCGGUUCUGGGUACCGCUAAAGAACACCAGAAAGCUUUUGAUGAUGAAUUCCAAAACAAUGUCAACUUUCAUUUACUGGAGCAUUACAAAGCACCUCAGUUUCCAGCAAACUGCCCCAGCUCCAACUUUAGCAAGGAGGCUUGCCUGCACAGGCUGGCCCAAGGUCUGUCCACUUAAAUAAUUCUUCUCAAGCACGUGGAGAAGGAAUAUCCCGGCAGUAAAAUUCUGUCUGAGGCCAAACACUACUCUGAACUCCUGCUCUACAAUAUCAAACAAAAGAUGAAAAAACCAGAAGAGGUCACAGGCCUGAGUAGCAAUGAGGAAGAGAGCCUAUUGAGGUCACUGUACCACCCCGAUGCUUUCCACAGAAAGAUGACGGCGCACAACAUCCUGCGGAAGCUCUACAUCUUCAUUGUUGACGGCAAGAGGGCGCUGAGGCGCAAAGAACGGCGAAGGGGAAAACGUGCCAAGGUCUUCGCCAUGUUUAGUUUAUUGCGGUAGUCACGUCCGCCACUGAAGCCCGUCGGAAAUGUUGGGCAAAACAUGAAGUGAAUUAAGGAAGUUCUUGUAUCUGCACUGACGUGUCGUAACCCACUGACGGAUUGAUGAUGUAUUUGUUUUUGCAUGACGCACUGAGUGUUUUUUUUUUAUUCUGUAGAUAACCUAUUUAUUGCUCAUUCAAAAAAGCCAUUGUGAAUCUAAGACCUUAUUUGUUGCAAACAGUCGUAUGAAUUAUUUAAAGAUAUUUAUUACAUAUUAUUGUUUUUAUACUUGAAGGCAUGAUAAUUAUAUUUAUUUUUUAAACGGAAUGUAUUUUUAAAACAUGAAUAAAACUAUUUGCUUACUUAUGAAUUGAACUGCUUGAUUUAUAACACUUUGGCAGGUGUCUUUUGAGAAUUUCACUUAUUAGAUUGAACUACAGAAAUCUCUUUUUAUGAGAUUCAAAUACAUCGUAUAUAUAUAUUUGCAAAACAGAAAUAUCGUAAGGCCACUUAUGGGCUUUACUGUCAAA